CUGUGGUGCGUGCCCCUAGUUUGUAGAUUCCUGGGUGCACUCGCUGGCGAGGCUGUGCGGCGCCGGUUUCGUGGCUAAAAUCCGACAGCCUUAUUGCAGAACUUGUUUCUUUGUCCGGAAAGGGCUCCCCUGUGUAACUUUACACCAGUUAUCGUAGAUGAGGCUUGCAAAUUACAGAUGUGGACGGUGAGGGAACGGGAAUUUCACUGAUAGCGCCUGAGAACCAACACAAGGAGUAAGAUACAGCCCCUCAAGGGACUCGCCAUAGGGAGAGGACACAGAGCUGUGGGAAUAAAGGGGCCACAAAGAAAGACAGAGGCGUUUGCUGAAAACUUCCCAAGCUCCCAUUCCAGCAGUUCCUGAAGGAUUCAUUUCUCUCUGAGCAUCCCAUGAGGUGGCUUAGCAGCUAGAAUCUCCUCCUUUACAGUGGGAAGAAUAGCUCCUGGAAAUUUAGGUCGACUUUGGAUUUAAAAGAAAGCUGUACAAUUCCACUUCUGGAUAUAUAACCAAAGGAAAUGAGCUGUGCAUACCCAUGUUCAAUGAAGCAUUAUUCACAAUAGCCAAAAUGUGGAACCAAUCCUUAAACAAAAGGAAGAGAGAAAAUCUGCUCAAGGGACACAUCUGGUCAACAUCAGGGCUGCUACCAGAGACCCUCCUUUGAAGCUACAAAGGAACAGGAUGAGAAGCAGAAAUGAACUACUACUGAUUGAAGGAGAGAAAUCUGUAGCAUCAGGGAGAAGACAGGGGUGGUUGUGUGAAGAUGGAAGUGAGUUUCUGUCAUUUUUAUUGCCCUUUGAUGGAGUCACCUGUCCUAGGAUGAGCAUUCAUCCUUAGGAGACAUAUUUAAACAGGCUGUAUUUGAAUCAGGGAUGAUCUAUAAUCUAACAUGUUAGUAUAGUAUAAGAACAUAUGCUGGGCGCCAAUUAUAUGUGGGCUACUGGGCCAGAUGUUUUACAUAUAUGAUGUGAUUCAAUUAUCCCCAUGAGUAUUUUUAGUAGAUAUUAUUCUAGAAGGGUUAAAUAACUUGCCUAAAAUCACAGAGGUAAUAAAUGACACAGCCAAAGUUUAGAGAUAACAGGUUCAUCUGUAUCACACUGCCUCCCAGUAACUUCUGUUUUACACAAACUGGUGUUUAACCAUUUACCUUGGCAUUGUUGAUUGCAGCCCCAUAGCCAGUUGAAAACCCACAUCCAAGCAGACAAACUCUCUCUAAAUUUGCAUCGUCGUCUAUUUUGGCAAGAUUAGUAUCUGACACUACAGUGUACUGAGAGAAUGUACUGGUUCCCAAGAAAUGGUAAACUGGUUUUCCUUUGCAGGUAAACCUGCUGGUUUUGUCUUCCAUUAGUUGUUGAUCACUAGCAGGAUUUUUAAGAUUACUAGAAAAUUAAAAAAGAGAGAGAGAGAGAUACAAAUAAAGAGGAGUUACAAUAAAUGGAAGACUGAUCAUUUUCCUACAAAAUAUAUUGAGCAUUAUACAUCUUUCAUGACAAUUUACACGACAGAAAAAUUAGGGAAACAACAAGACUUUUCACAAAAUAUAGUUUGUUGAAAGCAUUUUAAAGAUAACAACAACAAUUUUUUUAAAGUGACAGGGUCUCGUUUUGUCACUCAGGCUGGAGUGCA